UACGAAGGGGGCUAGCGUUGUUCGGAUUUACUGGGCGUAAAGCGCACGUAGGCGGCUUGGCAAGUCGGAUGUGAAAGCCCUCGGCUCAACCAAGGAAGUGCAUCCGAAACUGCUGAGCUUGAGUACUUAAGAGGAUCGCGGAAUUCCCGGUGUAGAGGUGAAAUUCGUAGAUAUCGGGAGGAACACCAGUGGCGAAGGCGGCGAUCUGGGAAGAUACUGACGCUGAGGUGCGAAAGCGUGGGGAGCAAACAGA
rnacentral:rRNA from 1 species